rnacentral:pre_miRNA from 1 species
GUUUGUGGAUGAUAUUCAGCACAAAGGACAGGUGUCUUUGCCUGUGUAUGGAUGGUGUUCAGUACCAAUGACAAAGGUUUUUGUUU